rnacentral:rRNA from 1 species
AGAGUAUGUCAGAGGGGGGUAGAAUUCCACGUGUAGCAGUGAAAUGCGUAGAGAUGUGGAGGAAUACCGAUGGCGAAGGCAGCCCCCUGGGAUAAUACUGACGUUCAUGCUCGAAAGCGUGGGUAGCAAACAGGAUUAGAUACCCUGGUAGUCCACGCCCUAAACGAUGUCAAUUAGCUGUUGGGGCACUUGAUGCCUUAGUAGCGUAGCUAACGCGUGAAAUUGACCGCCUGGGGAGUACGGUCGCAAGAUUAAAACUCAAAGGAAUUGACGGGGACCCGCACAAGCGGUGGAUGAUGUGGAUUAAUUCGAUGCAACGCGAAGAACCUUACCUGGUCUUGACAUGUACGGAAUCCUCCAGAGACGGAGGAGUGCCUUCGGGAGCCGUAACACAGGUGCUGCAUGGCUGUCGUCAGCUCGUGUCGUGAGAUGUUGGGUUAAGUCCCGCAACGAGCGCAACCCUUGUCAUUAGUUGCCAUCAUUUAGUUGGGCACUCUAAUGAGACUGCCGGUGACAAACCGGAGGAAGGUGGGGAUGACGUCAAGUCCUCAUGGCCCUUAUGACCAGGGCUUCACACGUCAUACAAUGGUCGGUACAGAGGGUAGCCAAGCCGCGAGGUGGAGCCAAUCCCAAAAAACCGAUCGUAGUCCGGAUUGCACUCUGCAACUCGAGUGCAUGAAGUCGGAAUCGCUAGUAAUCGCAGGUCAGCAUACUGCGGUGAAUACGUUCCCGGGUCUUGUACACACCGCCCGUCACACCAUGGGAGUGGGGGAUACCAGAAGUAGGUAGGGUAACCGCAAGGAGCCCGCUUACCACGGUAUGCUUCAUGACUGGGGUGAAGUCGUAACAAGGUA